rnacentral:rRNA from 1 species
GAUGAACGCUGGCGGCGUGCCUAAUACAUGCAAGUCGAGCGAACGGACGAGAAGCUUGCUUCUCUGAUGUUAGCGGCGGACGGGUGAGUAACACGUGGAUAACCUACCUAUAAGACUGGGAUAACUUCGGGAAACCGGAGCUAAUACCGGAUAAUAUCUUGAGCCGCAUGGUUCAAAAGUGAAAGACGGUCUUGCUGUCACUUAUAGAUGGAUCCGCGCUGCAUUAGCUAGUUGGUAAGGUAACGGCUUACCAAGGCAACGAUGCAUAGCCGACCUGAGAGGGUGAUCGGCCACACUGGAACUGAGACACGGUCCAGACUCCUACGGGAGGCAGCAGUAGGGAAUCUUCCGCAAUGGGCGAAAGCCUGACGGAGCAACGCCGCGUGAGUGAUGAAGGUCUUCGGAUCGUAAAACUCUGUUAUUAGGGAAGAACAUAUGUGUAAGUAACUGUGCACAUCUUGACGGUACCUAAUCAGAAAGCCACGGCUAACUACGUGCCAGCAGCCGCGGUAAUACGUAGGUGGCAAGCGUUAUCCGGAAUUAUUGGGCGUAAAGCGCGCGUAGGCGGUUUUUUAAGUCUGAUGUGAAAGCCCACGGCUCAACCGUGGAGGGUCAUUGGAAACUGGAAAACUUGAGUGCAGAAGAGGAAAGUGGAAUUCCAUGUGUAGCGGUGAAAUGCGCAGAGAUAUGGAGGAACACCAGUGGCGAAGGCGACUUUCUGGUCUGUAACUGACGCUGAUGUGCGAAAGCGUGGGGAUCAAACAGGAUUAGAUACCCUGGUAGUCCACGCCGUAAACGAUGAGUGCUAAGUGUUAGGGGGUUUCCGCCCCUUAGUGCUGCAGCUAACGCAUUAAGCACUCCGCCUGGGGAGUACGACCGCAAGGUUGAAACUCAAAGGAAUUGACGGGGACCCGCACAAGCGGUGGAGCAUGUGGUUUAAUUCGAAGCAACGCGAAGAACCUUACCAAAUCUUGACAUCCUUUGACAACUCUAGAGAUAGAGCUUUCCCCUUCGGGGGACAAAGUGACAGGUGGUGCAUGGUUGUCGUCAGCUCGUGUCGUGAGAUGUUGGGUUAAGUCCCGCAACGAGCGCAACCCUUAAGCUUAGUUGCCAUCAUUAAGUUGGGCACUCUAAGUUGACUGCCGGUGACAAACCGGAGGAAGGUGGGGAUGACGUCAAAUCAUCAUGCCCCUUAUGAUUUGGGCUACACACGUGCUACAAUGGACAAUACAAAGGGCAGCGAAACCGCGAGGUCAAGCAAAUCCCAUAAAGUUGUUCUCAGUUCGGAUUGUAGUCUGCAACUCGACUACAUGAAGCUGGAAUCGCUAGUAAUCGUAGAUCAGCAUGCUACGGUGAAUACGUUCCCGGGUCU